UCAGCCGCCGCGGUAAUACGUAGGGGGCGAGCGUUGUCCGGAUUUACUGGGCGUAAAGAGCGCGUAGGCGGCUCGUUAAGUUGGCUGUAAAAGGCCCUGGCUUAACUGGGGUAAGUCGGCCAAAACUGGCGGGCUCGAGGACGGUAGAGGAAGGUGGAAUUCCUGGUGUAGUGGUGAAAUGCGUAGAGAUCAGGAGGAACACCGGUGGCGAAGGCGGCCUUCUGGGCCGUUCCUGACGCUGAGGCGCGAAAGCGUGGGGAGCGAACUGAAUUAGAUACUCAGGUAGUCCACGCUGUAAACUAUGGACGCUAGGUGUGGGGGGUAUCGACCCCUCCCGUGCCGAAGCUAACGCAUUAAGCGUCCCGCCUGGGGAGUACGGCCGCAAGGCUAAAACUCAAAGGAAUUGACGGGGGCCCGCACA
rnacentral:rRNA from 1 species